CGUGGGUAACCUGCCCAAUAGAUCGGGAUAACACCUGGAAACAGAUGCUAAUACCGGAUAACAACAGAUGAUGCCUAUCAACUGUUUAAAAGAUGGUUCUGCUAUCACUCUUGGAUGGACCUGCGGUGCAUUAGCUAGUUGGUAGGGUAACGGCCUACCAAGGCGAUGAUGCAUAGCCGAGUUGAGAGACUGAUCGGCCACAUUGGGACUGAGACACGGCCCAAACUCCUACGGGAGGCAGCAGUA
rnacentral:rRNA from 1 species